AUACGGAGGGUGCGAGCGUUAAUCGGAAUUACUGGGCGUAAAGCGCGCGUAGGCGGCUUAUUAAGUCAGAUGUGAAAUCCCCGGGCUCAACCUGGGAACUGCAUCUGAUACUGGUAAGCUAGAGUUUUGGAGAGGGAAGUAGAAUUUCAGGUGUAGCGGUGAAAUGCAUAGAGAUCUGAAGGAAUACCAGUGGCGAAGGCGACUUCCUGGCCAAAAACUGACGCUGAGGUGCGAAAGCGUGGGUAGCAAACGGGAUUAGAAACCCCAGAGUCC
rnacentral:rRNA from 1 species